GAUGAACGCUGGCGGCGUGCCUAAUACAUGCAAGUCGAGCGAACAGACGAGGAGCUUGCUCCUCUGACGUUAGCGGCGGACGGGUGAGUAACACGUGGAUAACCUACCUAUAAGACUGGGAUAACUUCGGGAAACCGGAGCUAAUACCGGAUAAUAUAUUGAACCGCAUGGUUCAAUAGUGAAAGACGGUUUUGCUGUCACUUAUAGAUGGAUCCGCGCCGCAUUAGCUAGUUGGUAAGGUAACGGCUUACCAAGGCAACGAUGCGUAGCCGACCUGAGAGGGUGGUCGGCCACCCUUGAACUGAGACAAGGUUCAGACCCCUAAGGGAAGGAAGGAUGGGGGAUCGUCCGGGAGUGGGGGAAGGCUGGCCGGAGAACGCCGCGUGAGUGAUGAAGGUCUUCGGAUCGUAAAACUCUGUUAUUAGGGAAGAACAAAUGUGUAAGUAACUAUGCACGUCUUGACGGUACCUAAUCAGAAAGCCACGGCUAACUACGUG
rnacentral:rRNA from 1 species